rnacentral:lncRNA from 10 species
GUCAAAAGAGGUCCCUGGAGAACACAGUGAUGCUUCUGAGCCACAGUAAGGAUCUAGUCCAGCCCUAAAUGAGUCCUUGACUGUAUUCAGAGUCUGGUAAUGGGAAUAACAGGAGAGGGGGGUGGGUUUCUAACUGCAUGAAUUAAUCCACAAAGCAGUUUUCCUUUGGGAAGGAGAAGAGGUCUUGCAUACCAGCACAGUGGAUGGGGAAUGGUGUGACCUCUGUCCCUGCUCUCUUCUCUGCUGGCUUAAGGGUCUAUUCUCCAUGUGUCUAUUUCUUUGAUGACUUUAUACUUUUUAUGAAAGGAGCAUCUUUUCAUUAAACCUUCAAAAAUAAAGGAAGAUACAAAAACUAAAGUACAAAUUACCUGAAACUCAGCACCCUUUUGUAACCAUUGUCAGCCCUUUGGUGAAUGUCCUUCCAGAUAUCUCCCUGUACCUGUGUACCCAGAUAGAUAUAUGUAUAGAUAAGAGUGACCAAAUAUAAGUGCUGUUCUAUACUGUGUAUUUUUCACCAAAUAAUGUAUCUCGUGGACUUCUAUGUCGAUGAAUAUAUAUAAAUAUCUAA